rnacentral:rRNA from 1 species
CACCGCGGUUAUACGAGAGGCCCAAGUUGACAGACAUCGGCGUAAAGCGUGGUUAAGACCCCCCCCCCCACUAAAGUCGAACACCCUCAGAGCAGUUAUACGCAUCCGAGGGCACGAAGCUCCAUCACGAAAGUGACUUUACCCGCCCCCCCCCUGACCCCACGAAAGCUACGAAA